GGGACACGUGGUAUCCUGUCUGAAUAUGGGGGGACCAUCCUCCAAGGCUAAAUACUCCUGACUGACCGAUAGUGAACCAGUACCGUGAGGGAAAGGCGAAAAGAACCCCGGCGAGGGGAGUGAAAAAGAACCUGAAACCGUGUACGUACAAGCAGUGGGAGCACGCUUAGGCGUGUGACUGCGUACCUUUUGUAUAAUGGGUCAGCGACUUAUAUUCUGUAGCAAGGUUAACCGAAUAGGGGAGCCGAAGGGAAACCGAGUCUUAACUGGGCGUUAAGUUGCAGGGUAUAGACCCGAAACCCGGUGAUCUAGCCAUGGGCAGGUUGAAGGUUGGGUAACACUAACUGGAGGACCGAACCGACUAAUGUUGAAAAAUUAGCGGAUGACUUGUGGCUGGGGGUGAAAGGCCAAUCAAACCGGGAGAUAGCUGGUUCUCCCCGAAAGCUAUUUAGGUAGCGCCUCGUGAAUUCAUCUCCGGGGGUAGAGCACUGUUUCGGCAAGGGGGUCAUCCCGACUUACCAACCCGAUGCAAACUGCGAAUACCGGAGAAUGUUAUCACGGGAGACACACGGCGGGUGCUAACGUCCGUCGUGAAGAGGGAAACAACCCAGACCGCCAGCUAAGGUCCCAAAGUCAUGGUUAAGUGGGAAACGAUGUGGGAAGGCCCAGACAGCCAGGAUGUUGGCUUAGAAGCAGCCAUCAUUUAAAG
rnacentral:rRNA from 1 species